CCCCUGUCAGGGUCACACCUGGAGAGUUUCUAGUACUCUACUAGUCUCGGCUACAGGAGGGAGAGUCAAGCAGAGGCCUAACCAUUCCAUUCCUAGCUUGGGCAGUGGCUAGUGAUGGAAGGCAAUUUGUUACAAGU